rnacentral:rRNA from 1 species
AUACGUAGGUGACAAGCGUUAUCCGGAUUUACUGGGCGUAAAGGGCGUGUAGGCGGUCUUGCAAGUCAGAAGUGAAAUUCCUGAGCUCAACUCGGGCGCUGCUUCUGAAACUGCAGGACUUGAGUGCUGGAGGGGAUAGCGGAAUUCCUAGUGGAGCGGUAAAAUGCGCAGAUAUUAGGAAGAACACCGGUGGCGAAGGCGGCUAUCUGGACAGUAACUGACGCUGAGGCGCGAAAGCGGGGGGAGCAAACAGGAUUAGAUGCCCUGGUAGGCCACGCCGUAAACGAUGAAUACUAGGUGUAGGGGGUAUCGACUCCCUCUGUGCCGCAGUUAACACAAUAAGUAUUCCGCCUGGGGAGUACGGCCGCAAGGUUGAAACUCAAAUGAAUUGACGGGG